ACAACAAAACUUCUUAGUGUGAAAAUUACAAUGUCGUCAUCUAAUUUUAGUAUCUUUUGUAUCGUUCUUAUUUUUCUAGCAAGUCUUCAUGAAUGUGGUGAGUUAAUGUUAUAAGUACUUUAGGUUUGGUUCAGAUCGUCAUUUAGCAUCAUUACCAUUAUAAUCAUAACCAUAGUCUGAAAAAGGUUCAUUUAUUUGCUUUUGUAGAUUCUUUAAGAAAUCCUUUCAAAGAUGACCCGUUAAGAAAUCCUAUCACAAAUGAAAAAGUUAAAGAACCACCGUGCUAUCCAUAUGGAAAACAGUUUAAAUGCACAGGUUUUGCUGGAACUGUCGUUGUUGACACCGCCGAUCGGUGUUGGUCUUUCUGUGCAGCCGCUAAUAAACGUCCGUAGAACCCCAGCACCUCCUCCGAUCCAAAUGUUUGAAGAGCUUUUAAGUAUACCAACCAAAUGUUUUUAUAUGUUUACUCAUAUUAUUAAUCAAAAAUAUUUAUGUGACUUCACCCAAUACAAGCAUGCCUAGACUACCUUAGUUUGUGUUUAGUAACUUUGAAAAUCAUGUAAUAAUAUUUAUGCACAAUGUUAAACAUUUUUCUCGUU